rnacentral:rRNA from 1 species
GAAAGGCUCAUUAAAUCAGUUAUGGUUCCUUAGAUCGUACCCCAAUUACUUGGAUAACUGUGGUAAUUCUAGAGCUAAUACAUGCAAACAGAGCUCCGACCGGAGACGGAAGGAGUGCUUUUAUUAGAUCAAAACCAAUCGGUGGCGGGCUCGUCAUCGUACAACUUGGUGACUCUGAAUAACUUUACGCUGAUCGCACGGUCAUCGCACCGGCGACGCAUCUUUCAAAUGUCUGCCUUAUCAACUGUCGAUGGUAGGUUCUGCGCCUACCAUGGUCGUAACGGGUAACGGGGAAUCAGGGUUCGAUUCCGGAGAGGGAGCCUGAGAAACGGCUACCACAUCCAAGGAAGGCAGCAGGCGCGCAAAUUACCCACUCCCGGCACGGGGAGGUAGUGACGAAAAAUAACGAUACGGGACUCAUCCGAGGCCCCGUAAUCGGAAUGAGUACACUCUAAACCCUUUAACGAGGAUCAAUUGGAGGGCAAGUCUGGUGCCAGCAGCCGCGGUA